UACGUAGGGUGCAAGCGUUGUCCGGAAUUAUUGGGCGUAAAGAGCUCGUAGGCGGUCUGCCGCGUCUGCUGUGAAAACUCGGGGCUUAACCCCGGGCCUGCAGUGGGUACGGGCAGACUAGAGUGCGGUAGGGGAGACUGGAAUUCCUGGUGUAGCGGUGAAAUGCGCAGAUAUCAGGAAGAACACCCGUGGCGAAAGCGGCUCUCUGGAACGGUACUGACGCUGAGGAGCGAAAGUGUGGGGAGCGAACAGG
rnacentral:rRNA from 1 species